rnacentral:piRNA from 1 species
UGCUUUCGAUAGAGUUGUUGUGGAC